rnacentral:rRNA from 1 species
ACAAUGGAGAGUUUGAUCCUGGCUCAGGAUGAACGCUAGCUACAGGCUUAACACAUGCAAGUCGAGGGGAAACGACAUCGAAAGCUUGCUUUUGAUGGGCGUCGACCGGCGCACGGGUGAGUAACGCGUAUCCAACCUGCCCACCACUUGGGGAUAACCUUGCGAAAGUAAGACUAAUACCCAAUGAUAUCUCUAGAAGACAUCUGAAAGAGAUUAAAGAUUUAUCGGUGAUGGAUGGGGAUGCGUCUGAUUAGCUUGUUGGCGGGGUAACGGCCCACCAAGGCAACGAUCAGUAGGGGUUCUGAGAGGAAGGUCCCCCACAUUGGAACUGAGACACGGUCCAAACUCCUACGGGAGGCAGCAGUGAGGAAUAUUGGUCAAUGGGCGAGAGCCUGAACCAGCCAAGUAGCGUGCAGGAUGACGGCCCUAUGGGUUGUAAACUGCUUUUAUAAGGGAAUAAAGUGAGUCUCGUGAGACUUUUUGCAUGUACCUUAUGAAUAAGGACCGGCUAAUUCCGUGCCAGCAGCCGCGGUAAUACGGAAGGUCCGGGCGUUAUCCGGAUUUAUUGGGUUUAAAGGGAGCGUAGGCCGGAGAUUAAGCGUGUUGUGAAAUGUAGACGCUCAACGUCUGCACUGCAGCGCGAACUGGUUUCCUUGAGUACGCACAAAGUGGGCGGAAUUCGUGGUGUAGCGGUGAAAUGCUUAGAUAUCACGAAGAACUCCGAUUGCGAAGGCAGCUCACUGGAGCGCAACUGACGC